GGAGUUCAGCAGGAUAAGAGUGCUGGUGGCCAGGGGAGUUGGAAAGCAAUGGAGAGGGCUACUGAGAAUUGUUCAGGAGAUGUGGAAGAGGGAGCUGAUUUUGGAUGGGAGCUGAAACAGAGCUGCUGGGUUGGAAGAGACUGACACGCUGAGACCCCACGGUGAUUCCUGGCAAUCAGCUGAAAUGGGUCGGAGCUACUUACACCACAGGGAAGAAUCCCGCACCAUCUUCGCUGUCCUGCAUGAAGAAUCGUCUGCGUCCUCCUCCGUUCGUGUCUUUGUUCCACGUUUGGGCCGGGGGGUGAGAGCCAGGGCUGCCCACGGAC